UCAAGUUACUGCUGUUGUGAAAUAAGGUUCACUGAUAUGGAGAAAUUUGUAAUUGUACUUAUUUGGGAAGGUACUAAAAUGUCCCAAGUUCCUAACGGUCUGUGAAUGCCUCAUGACGUUUCUUUUGUUUAUUUGAGUAGACAGGUGUUAAUCCGUGCCUGAUGAGGGUCUCCUACCUAUCGGAUUCUGAGAAGGGGGUGGGACUAAAAAAAACGAGAGGGACGAAGCUCAGGCUAGUAACAAGAGACACUAGGAGAAGAAAAGCAACGCGACGAAAGAGUUUAGUUGUAAGCCAGCCGCUCAACAGUGUUAAGUUACAGAUGUUGUGGAAACUUAACUGCCUGUUUGCCGCCACGCAUGCUGCUGCUGUAGAGGGUGCUCAGUACUUUGCUGUCGCUAGGGAAACCUGCUGAUGCAUCUCACAUCACUUUUCUUCAUUGAACAGAAGGUUUGAGGACAACUGACUAGCUGUGUUUCUGAAUCUCCAAGGAUCAGUGAGUACUGAGGAACACUUUUCACGAGGAUUCAAAUGAGCUCCAACAUGCGCGCCAACACAUGGUACCAUAACUGAGUUUACUAAACCCUGGGUAUUAUUAUUUUAAUUUUAUUUGACUUAAAGGGUGAUUGUGUUUUUUGUUAAUAAACACCCAUGUUGUUGCACAGUAUAUUUGCAUUCGAAAUGUUUUUUUAUGCUUGAUGAAUGUGGUGUUGGUAGGGCUAUGGUGUGUUUAACAGUAUGCAUGGGAGGUUGUAAGCUCACAUAAACAAUAUAGCUACAAAAUCAGCUAACCAGGCCUCUCUGCACUCUAGGCAGGGUCGUAUGCUCUAGUUAAAGUAGAUGUAUCCCAAUUUCAUUAUUCUAGUAGACUCCCUCCAAUCCGCCUCCCAUGCAUGAGGUGUUAACAGGUGAAAAGGGGUUCGCCAUGAUUAUUCUGUAGCAAAAUUGGAGUUGAGUGGGAAGGCUACAUAAAUAAUAUAAAAUAAAAACUAAUUUUAACUAAAUUAAACUGUGAAAAAAUUCCAGACCAGAGAAAUUAUCCUGUCAGCCAGAGAGCGGAAAAAGAGUCUUAUGUAAUUUGCGCCACUAAAAAAAAAGAAAAAAAAAAGUCUCAUUACCCGGUCGGCUUUUCUGAUCUGCCCACCGAUCAACCUGUUUAGGGUCAAUACCGACCGAUAACGAUCGGCUGCCUAUCGACCGGCGCAUCCCUAGUUGUGUUGUGUGUAUUUGUAGUGUAUUGCUGUGUUUCUUAAGUAAGAGUGUGUUGAGCUCUCAGGGCCACCAUCAUUUUGGCCACUUACAUGAAAUCACCCCUUACUGUCCACCAUUGAUGGAAAUGAUGAUUCAUGAGCAUCAAUAUGGUAAACAGUAAAUGGUAAAUAGUAAGGGUCGACCGAUAUAUCGGCCGGCCGAUAUAUCGGGCCGAUAUUAGCGUUGUCUAGGUGUAUCGGCAUCGGCCGAUACACAUGGCCGAUACGGCCGAUACGCAUCCAGCGUCAUUUACAGACAGGCGUUCAAGGGCAGCUCUGUGAAGACCCGCUAUGCAUACAGUAGCAUGCGUGUGCCUGAAAGUCAUUAAGUGAGUCGAAAAAAAACGGGAAUGCUGUUUAAGUGCGUCGCAUUUAAACUGCCAACCUAAACUAGGGAGCUGUAACACUAAGAGUAGGCUAUGAUGCAAUCACCCGCAGUUUAAAGUUCAAAUGAAGUCGGUGUUGUUAUCAGUCACUGUCAAUUCGGCGUUUGAAGGAGUUAAACCGGCGAACACCGGUGAAGCAGCCCAGUGUGUGUGUGUGUGUGUGUGAGUGAGUGUGCACGCACGUGAGGGAGAGACAGAUGGAGCGAGAAAAAGUGAUCAGUGAGGAGCGACACAGUCAUUGCUGUAGGCAGAUGUCAGAUUUGGGAGAUAUCUGCAAAACAGUCCAGGACCUAUAAUGAAACUUUAAGGGGGUUCGAGAAGGCUUGCUAAGCCAUAGUUUAGCUUAGGCCUACGUACGGAAAUAUUUUUUUUAACACAUGGGGUAGCGCCCUGUCAGUGUCCUCUCAGACACCGCGGGAGCAAUAAUGGCAUGCGAGUGAUUAUCACUGAAUAAACUUCUAAAUCCCUCCUAAACGUAACUCGCCACUCAUAUUGUGUGCAGUAUAAGGGUAGGCUACACUUCUCCCACAAAGUGAUAGCAACCAAAUGUUUCAAGAAUCUCGGUCGCUGUUGCUGGAGUGUUGCAGCGAACACCGGUGGUGAAACUGAAGCAGCCCAGUGGGCGUGUGUGUGUGUGUGUGUGUGUGUGUGUGUGUGUGUGUGUGUGCACGUGUGCACGUUAGGGAGAGACUGAAGGAGCGAGAAAAAGAGAUCAGCGCGGAGCGGAACAGUUGCUGUAAUCAGAUAACUGCACAACGAACCCAACAGUCCAGGACCUAAUGAAACGUUUUGGGGUUUCGAGAAGAGGCUUGCUAAGCCAUAGACUACUUUAGCUUACGUACGGGAAUAUUUUUUGAACACAUGGGGUAGCGCCGUGUCAGUGCAUGUCGACACCGCGGGAGCAAUAAUGGCAUGACAAUUUUGUUUAUUUAUUAUUAUUAUUAUUUUACAUUUUUUUGUUUUGCUGCUUUGUUACUUGUUCUUAACGUCAGUUCAGUCACUUGAAAUAUUUAUUAUUUUAUGUUAUUCAGCUUUUCUAAAAUCACCAAGACACUUUAUUUUUGUAUUACUUGGUUGUUCAUUGUUCAUUGUUUAUUACUUGAAGUUCUACCUCAAUUUGAUUAUGUUAAACAAAUGGCUAUUUAUUUUUAACUUGAGACCUGGAAUAUUUGUCAUUUUUUAAACUUUUUUUAACCCAUAUCGGUAUCGGAAAUCGGGUAUCGGAAAUCGGGUAUCGGCCAUGGGCCAUGGGGAAAAAAUCGGUAUCGCAUCGGCCAUCAAAAAACCCGUAUCGGUCGACCCCUAGUAAAUAGACUGUACUUAUAUAGCGUCUUUCUGUGAAGAAACAACUAUAUUUUGCUUCAUAUACAGUACAAUUGAUAUGUUAUAAUUCUCAAGAUCACAAAUGCAAAUUAAAUGGCUCUUAGCUAUCCAAUUAGAGCUCUUUUCAUCUUUAUACUGUAUAUCCCUCCCCAUUACAUCGUUCUCUCCUCUCAUCACCUCCCUCCUGCCCCAGAGCUAAACAGUCUUCCACUAGGAGCUGCCUUAGUUCUGUUUAACCUUUUAAUUUGUGUUAAUUGCAUGUUAAUCGAGCAACUUCUGCCUAAGGAGCAGUUGUGUGUGUGUGUGUGUGUGUGUGUGUGUGUGUGUGUGCUUGGGUAGGUGGGCUGGGAGAGGGGGUAAUUAGAAAAGGUGCAGUGGUUUGUGGGUGUAAAGUGGGAUUACGCAGCAGAGGGUCACAGAUAUAACUGAAAUCCUCUGAAGCUUGGCUGUAACUACUAAUAAUACAAGUAGGUCCAGACAACAAUUUACUAUAUCCACUAAAUUAAUAUUAUUAACAUGUAGAGUAGUUUUAUCAAACAUUCAUAUCAUGUUUAAAGUGACCACAUACUGUAAGUUUAAUGGAGAAUAUGUUGAAAGUAGAGCCAUCUGGAAAAUUAUUUGAAAUGAUUUGAUGUUCGGUUAAGUAAAAUCAAAGUGAUCAGUCUCAUAGGGUAGAUUUUCUUUUUUCUUGAUUAGGGUUUCUGUGACACAGUAAAAUGUCGAUACAGUUUAACUGAAGUAGUCAUGUUCUACCUAAGAACUAUUCAGUGUCCAAUGAAAUAAUUAUAAUUUUUAUUUUUAAUGUAAAGACUUCAGUCACAGCAGGUAACAUGAAAUUGAAAAUGGAAAAGAAGGCAUACAGUUCAACAUAUGAGAAGAACAAAUUUUCUACUGACUCUAAUAAAUGAGAGAUCAAUGAGUGUUUACUUUAGUAUAAAGGACUGGUGUGUUGGAACCACACAUGCAGAAAGGAUGUGUGCAGAUCUGUUCAUCUUAUUUGUUUCUCAUACUCAUGGUGGUUGGAACCAAAUAUCUCAAACGACCAAAACAAAGACAGAUUUUAACUGGUCUGAUGUCUAUGCCUUGUGUUUCUUUCUUUUGCUUUCUUUGCAGCAAUUCAACCAUAAAGGCCUGAUUCACACAGUCUUCUUCAAACAGCUGACAUUGAGAAGAUUUAAAGUCUGUGAAGCAUUUAUGUGGAGUCUAAUCUAAGGUCUCCGCCUUCUCCUGUGUGUCAUCCCUGCUCCCUGAUUACCUGCCUCUCCCAAUGUAUUUCACCUGUGCCUGAUUGUUUCCCCUCCUCUUUUCUCUCUGUAUUUAGUCUCUGUGCUUCCUUUGUUUGUCGCCAGUUGUCUAUUCUUGUACAGUGCCCCAGUGUCACCUUGUCUCGAAUUUCUAGUUUUUUGAUUACCUGAUUAUCGACCUUGAGCCUGGUUUUUGACCAUGAUUAUUGCCCAACAAUUUUGUACCUUCGCCUGUACAUUUUUUGUAACCUCUAGCUUGGUCUAGUAAACUUUUGGGACCCCCACCUCUGUCUUGAAGUCUGUAUUGCAAAUCCUUCUGUGUGCCUCCUGAUAGUACGAACUGGCCACAAAUGGAUUCGGUGGACUCAGACCCUGUGUACUCCACCAUCCAGAGACUGCGCAGGCAAGAGGAGGACCUGUGCGCUCUACGUCAGGUGCUCCAGGCCACGAAUGCCUGGCAUGAGCAGGUGAUGGUUUGGUGAGCAACUCACCUUUUUGACGACUCACGUUCAACAGAUGUCUCACGAUGCUUCUCCAGGAGCCACUGGCAGGACUCCUGCGCCGGUUUCAGCCUCCUCACCAUUCUCGCCUGCAGCAGAGGGAUUUUCUAUGGUUUUGGAAUCAUCACAGAUCCCCAUUCAGCUCUUCCGACCAGAGAGAUUCUCCAGGGACUGUUGGCCAUUCCUCACCCAGUGUGAGCUUUAUUUUGAACUGCAGCUGAUGUCUUUUCCCUCCGAGUUAGCCCGAGUUGCCUAUGUUAGUUCCCAACUGUCCGGGAGAGCAGAGGCAUGGGCUACAGCGGAGUGGAGCAGGAGAUCUCUGGUAUGUGACACUCUACAACUCUUUACAAACACAUUAACCAAGACUUUAACAGAUCGCGCCGGGUCUGGAGGAUGCCCGUGUUGGUAAAUUUGAAGCAGGAGAGAAGAAAUGUUGCCGAUUGAGUUUGCCGCUGACAGCAAAUGGAACCAGUCGGCACAGUAUGAUGCUUUCCUGCACGGAGUAUCUGCACCCUUGAGGGACCAGCUCGCCCCCUUGGACCUGCCCUCCGAUCUGGACUCUGUCAUAGACCUGGCCAUCAGGGUUGAUAAACGCCUCACCAAAAAAAAGGAGAGGUCUCUGUUUGGUCCGUUCCAGGCACCUCACUGAGGACCUGCCUCCGGGUUUUCCCACUGUCCUCCAGCUCAAGUGGCAGCUUCGGCCAUUCCUAGAGUGCUCCCUGCUGACUCAGAGGAGUCAAUGCAACUAGGGCGCACACAUCUGUCUACGGAGAAGCGGCUGCUGACUGCUGUAGGACCCCAGCUCUCACCUACAGUUGUGGCUAUCGGUGACAAACAUUGACCCUGACUACCCCAAUCUCUCUAAGGUUCCAGUGUUACGUAGACCUCAAGGAGGUGUUCAACAAGUCUCGUGCCACCUCUUUUCCCCCUCACAGACCUUAGGAUAACCCGUUUCUCUUGUUUAUCCCUGUUCCACUGGAACCUUUCACCCAGUGCAUGUGCACAAGUAGCCCUGUCUCUGAGUCUUUGUUUAAGCUUAGCAUGGUAUGGAAUAAAUUGGCUUAAGGCUGUAAGGCCUCUUCUGCCUCAGCCAAAGAGCUAAAA